GUAAAGCUCCAGCGGUUAAAGAUGGGCAUGCGUGACAUUAGCUGGAUGGUAGGGUAACGGCCUACCAUGGCUACGAUGUCUAGGGGUUCUGAGAGGAUUACCCCCCACACUGGUACUGAGACACGGACCAGACUCCUACGGGAGGCAGCAGUGAGGAAUAUUGGUCAAUGGGCGCAAGCCUGAACCAGCCAUCCCGCGUGAAGGAUGAAGGCCCUAUGGGUUGUAAACUGCUUUUAUACACCAAGAAAAAACUCCAACGAGUUGGGAUUUGCCGGUAAGGUAUGAAUAAGCAUCGGCUAACUCCGUGCCAGCAGCCGCGGUAAUACGGAGGAUGCAAGCGUUAUCCGGAUUCAUUGGGUUUAAAGGGUGCGCAGGUGGGAAAAUAAGUCAGUGGUGAAAUACUGCCGCUUAACGGUAGAAUUGCCAUUGAUACUGUUUUUCUUGAGUAUGGUUGAGGUAGGUGGAAUGUGUUGUGUAGCGGUGAAAUGCAUAGAUAUGACACAGAACGCCGAUUGCGAAGGCAGCUUACUAAGCCAUUACUGACGCUGAGGCACGAAAGCGUGGGGAUCGAACAGGAUUAGAUACCCUGGUAGUCCACGCCGUAAACGAUGAGUGCUAGGUGUCGGGGGUAUCGACCCCUUCAGUGAGCGAAAGCAUUAAGUGAUCCACCUGGGGAGUACGAUCGCAAGGUUGAAACUCAAAGGAAUUGACGGGGGCCCGCACAAGCGGUGGAGCAUGUGGUUUAAUUCGACGCAACGCGAAGAACCUUACCAGGGCUUGACAUCCUCUGACAACCCAAGAGAUUGGGCUUUCUAGCUUCGGUUAGACAGAGAGACAGGUGGUGCAUGGUUGUCGUCAGCUCGUGUCGUGAGAUGUUGGGUUAAGUCCCGCAACGAGCGCAACCCUUAUUCUUAGUUGCCAGAAGUAAUGUUGGGCACUCUAGGGAGACUGCCGGUGAUAAACCGGAGGAAGGUGGGGAUGACGUCAAAUCAUCAUGCCCUUUAUGACCUGGGCUACACACGUGCUACAAUGGCCUGUACAAAGGGUAGCGAAGCCGCGAGGUGAAGCCAAUCCCAAAAAGCAGGUCUCAGUUCGGAUUGUAGGCUGCAACUCGCCUACAUGAAGUCGGAAUCGCUAGUAAUCGUGGAUCAGCAUGCCGCGGUGAA
rnacentral:rRNA from 1 species